GGGACCAGUCCCCGCGCCGGUGCUGCCAGGCAGCUGAGGUCGUUGGUGUCGGUGCCAGGUUUGAAUUGGUCCGAUCUGAGUGAAUCCCCAGCCCCAUCUCUGAAUUACACAGAGGGAUCAUAGGGAUUUGCAUUUGAAAGUCUGAAUGAAACGGAACAUUUUUUUCCUCCUCCUAUAGUCAGCUUUAAGAGAGGAGGAAAACGGAGGUUCAGAGGGGCGAAGAAACGCGUCCAAGAGGUUUUGACCCUAUUGCUCGGUGCCGUUUCUCCUUUAUCACCGUGGAAGUGUCCACUGAGGUCGAUAUUCUGAAGGAGAAAUGCAUGUGGAAGAAACAAAUAUGGAAGAAAAUGAAGAAGAAACUGAGGCUUCCAGAAAAUCUGCAGAAGGAUAUGGUUCCUGCUCCCCCAUCUGUAGCUUUCUUCAGUAAAAGACCUUUGCAAAUUCAAGGACACUGCCCAACAGGGCUUGCCUCCAGGAGCAGCGUACACUGUCCUGUGGGGACAGAGCCUUCUUGGCAGCCAUUUCAAGAUUGUGAAGUGAUGACCCAGUUCCCUUAAGAAACAAACUGCGAGGAGACCAUGGAUGAGGGAUGGAAGCGGAAGGCCUGGGGCUCAUCAAAUCCCCCCAGACAUCUGAGACCCACCCCUCCGCUGGCUUGGCUCAUGAGAUAUGGCUCACUCGUCCACACAUUUUUUCACGGGCGAUCAGAAUGGAACCUGCUGCUCAUAUCAAGAUGCUGAAGUCAGGGGCUUCCUUGAUGGCUCAGUAGUAAAGAAUCCACCUGCCAA